GGCUCAGGAUGAACGCUAGCUACAGGCUUAACACAUGCAAGUCGAGGGGCAGCAUGAACAUAGCUUGCUAUGUUUGAUGGCGACCGGCGCACGGGUGCGUAACACGUAUCCAAUCUGCCCGUUACUCGGGGAUAGCCUUCUGAAAGGAAGAUUAAUACCCGAUGGCAUGUAUUUCCGGCAUCGGAGAUACAUUAAAGAUUUAUCGGUAACGGAUGAGGAUGCGUACGAUUAGCUGGUUGGCGGGGUAACGGCCCACCAAGGCGACGAUCGUUAGGGGUUCUGAGAGGAAGGUCCCCCACACUGGAACUGAGACACGGUCCAGACUCCUACGGGAGGCAGCAGUGAGGAAUAUUGGUCAAUGGGCGAGAGCCUGAACCAGCCAAGUAGCGUGAAGGAAGACUGCCCUAUGGGUUGUAAACUUCUUUUGUUCGGGAAUAAAGUGCAGUACGCGUACUGUUUUGUAUGUACCGUUCGAAUAAGCAUCGGCUAAUUCCGUG
rnacentral:rRNA from 1 species